UACGGAGGGUGCAAGCGUUAAUCGGAAUCACUGGGCGUAAAGCGCACGUAGGCUGUUUGGUAAGUCAGGGGUGAAAUCCCGCGGCUCAACCGCGGAAUUGCCCUUGAUACUGCUGGACUUGAGUUCGGGAGAGGGUGGCGGAAUUCCAGGUGUAGGAGUGAAAUCCGUAGAUAUCUGGAGGAACAUCAGUGGCGAAGGCGGCCACCUGGACCGAUACUGACGCUGAGGUGCGAAAGCGUGGGGAGCAAAC
rnacentral:rRNA from 1 species